rnacentral:lncRNA from 1 species
CAAAGGGAUGCUGCUGCUGCCCCUCCGCCCCCGGCAGCACCAGCCCUUGGCGGGGGGGGAAAAACCAACCCAGCAGGGAAAAGCCGCCUUCCAGGGCACCUCCUGCGUGUGACCCUCGAGAGAGGACCCGGCCCUGCCGCUCCGACGGGAGGAAAACCGAGCGAGGCGGAAAAGCCGUGCUCGGGCAGCCCUCCCCGCUGCCACCCCCCGCCGGCAUCCCCCUUCCCCUCCCGGCAGCUCCGAGAAGAGCCGACGUCUCCRCGCGCCCCUCCAGCCAGGGGGAUGAGAAUGUGGAAGCAAUUGCACUUGGCAAGGCAGCAACAGUGAGUCAAAAACAGUUGUUUGGCUUGUCAGCCACCCAGGCCCUGCAGCACUCUUGUUUUCCUCCUCCUGCCUUAACCCCUUCGGGACCCGGCGGCAAACCGGCCGGCUGCGGGGCAAUUCCCGGGGCGGAAGCGUGCCGUGAGCGCUGGGUCUUUCCCGCGCUGGCGGGGAGCCCGGGGCCGGCCAGGUCCGCAGCCCGGGGUGAAGGGAGCUCCGGAGGCCACCGGGGAGCAGAGGGAUGCCCGGCGCUCCUGAAGCAUCCCAGAGGCGGGGUAAUUCCCGUGGCGGGGAGGCAGCGGGUGGCUAAGCCAGGCUGGGCUGCUCUCGCCCUGCUCCGGGGGGCUGGUGGACUGAAAAGCCAAGCCCAGCUCCAAACCCCCUUCCUGCACCCUGCAUCCACACAACGGAGACCCCGAGCCCAGGGAUGUGCAAGGGGAGUGUCUGCUUCUCCCAGGCCCCGGAGCAGAGGGACAUUCCCGCUUGCUGGCGCCAGGAGGAGAGGGCAGCGCUCCYGCCCCGGCGAGGGCGAGCAUCCCCGGCCAGGAGCACACCGAGGCCACGGGCAACGCGCCGGACCCCACGCCCGGGAUGCUUUCCCAGUCCUGCUGGGAAGCACGGCCACCCCCCGUCCCCACUUGGACGAGGCCGUUCGUGACAAUUUAGCAAAUCCCACGGGUUCCUGCCUGCCCCGAGGCCGGAAAGGCUCCCGGAGCUGCCGAGCCAGGGAUGCUUUGGGGUCUUUCCCCCAGCCCCGGGACCCCCCCCUCCUUGCACCCCAAGCCGGGCGACUGGUGCCAACCACCACGGGCGAGGAAGAGUUAAAGCCUCCUGAGCAAGCCGGGGAGGAAGAGCGGAGGGCGCGCGGGCGCCGGGGCGAGACAAAGCGCCGCGCGGGAGCCAAGGGAUGAAGGCGAGGAUGCGAUCCGAGGGGGAGCCGGGGCGCGAGCGAGGCAGCGGGGAGGAGCAGGGGAGGUGGUUGAUGACCAAAGUCAUUGAGCAUUUUUUGGCACGCCUUCCCCCCC